CAUCGGGAAACUCGUGUCAGCCA
rnacentral:miRNA from 1 species